ACCCAAAGUCAGAGCACAGUAUGACCCCAAAUUAUUGCCUGGCCUCUGUGCCCCCAGGCUAUGGGUACUGAAGUGGGUUGCAUAGUG
ensembl:snoRNA